rnacentral:rRNA from 1 species
UACGUAGGGUGCAAGCGUUAAUCGGAAUUACUGGGCGUAAAGCGUGCGCAGGCGGUUCUGUAAGUCAGAUGUGAAAUCCCCGGGCUCAACCUGGGAACUGCAUUUGUGACUGUAGAGCUGGAGUGCGGCAGAGGGGGAUGGAAUUCCGCGUGUAGCAGUGAAAUGCGUAGAUAUGCGGAGGAACACCGAUGGCGAAGGCAAUCCCCUGGGCCUGCACUGACGCUCAUGCACGAAAGCGUGGGGAGCAAACAGG